GAGUAACACGUGAGUAACCUGCCCUUGACUCUGGGAUAAGCCCGGGAAACUGGGUCUAAUACUGGAUAUUCAGCUGCUAUCGCAUGGUGGUGGUUGGAAAGGGAUUGACUGGUCAAGGAUGGACUCGCGGCCUAUCAGCUUGUUGGUGGGGUAAUGGCCUACCAAGGCGACGACGGGUAGCCGGCCUGAGAGGGUGACCGGCCACACUGGGACUGAGACACGGCCCAGACUCCUACGGGAGGCAGCAGUGGGGAAUAUUGCACAAUGGGCGCAAGCCUGAUGCAGCGACGCCGCGUGAGGGAUGACGGCCUUCGGGUUGUAAACCUCUUUCAGUAGGGAAGAAGCGAAAGUGACGGUACCUGCAGAAGAAGCGCCGGGCUAACUACGUGCCAGCAGCCGCGGUAAUACGUAGGGCGCAAGCGUUAUCCGGAAUUAUUGGGCGUAAAGAGCUCGUAGGCGGUUUGUCGCGUCUGCCGUGAAAGUCCGGGGCUCAACCCCGGAUCUGCGGUGGGUACGGGCAGACUAGAGUGCUGUAGGGGAGACUGGAAUUCCUGGUGUAGCGGUGAAAUGCGCAGAUAUCAGGAGGAACACCGAUGGCGAAGGCAGGUCUCUGGGCAGUAACUGACGCUGAGGAGCGAAAGCAUGGGGAGCGAACAGGAUUAGAUACCCUGGUAGUCCAUGCCGUAAACGUUGGGCACUAGAUGUGGGGGACAUUCCACGUUUUCCGCGUCGUAGCUAACGCAUUAAGUGCCCCGCCUGGGGAGUACGGCCGCAAGGCUAAAACUCAAAGGAAUUGACGGGGGCCCGCACAAGCGGCGGAGCAUGCGGAUUAAUUCGAUGCAACGCGAAGAACCUUACCAAGGCUUGACAUGGACCGGACCGCUCUGGAAACAGGGCUUCCCUUCGGGGCUGGUUCACAGGUGGUGCAUGGUUGUCGUCAGCUCGUGUCGUGAGAUGUUGGGUUAAGUCCCGCAACGAGCGCAACCCUCGUUCCAUGUUGCCAGCACGUGAUGGUGGGGACUCAUGGGAGACUGCCGGGGUCAACUCGGAGGAAGGUGGGGACGACGUCAAAUCAUCAUGCCCCUUAUGUCUUGGGCUUCACGCAUGCUACAAUGGCCGGUACAAUGGGUUGCGAUACUGUGAGGUGGAGCUAAUCCCAAAAAGCCGGUCUCAGUUCGGAUUGGGGUCUGCAACUCGACCCCAUGAAGUCGGAGUCGCUAGUAAUCGCAGAUCAGCAACGCUGCGGUGAAUACGUUCCCGGGCCUUGUACACACCGCCCGUCAAGUCACGAAAGUUGGUAACACCCGAAGCC
rnacentral:rRNA from 1 species